AAAGACACUUAUUUGAGCUUCACAUAUUUAAUAUGAACACCUUGCCGCCCAAUGACUUUCAUGUAUUACAAUUCUUCCAGGAUACUACUAUCUCCCCCAAUCUUGGUGAGGGUUUCUUCAAACUGCUCCCAUCAAAAUUAAAUGCAAAGCUGCCCUCUCAGUGCCUAUAAACAGAGUAAAAAAAACAAGUGAAUUGACAGAGAUGGUCCAAAUAACAUAAGCCAUCUCAUAAUAUAAGCAAGUUCUCUGUCCCUUAAACACAGAAUAAACAUAAGAAAUAUUAGCGAUACUAGGUCUUUCUUCUGGAGGAUGUAGCAGAGUUACAGCUUUCAAUAAAGAAUAUAUUACAUUAGCAAAUGAAGGAGACACUGUUUUUCAGGGCCUACAACUUCCUAUACUAGUAGUCAUUUAUACAUUCUAUUCUUGGCUUUCUGAUUUCAUGGCAUAUUUUGCAGAGACU
rnacentral:misc_RNA from 1 species